UCCUUCUUCUUCUUCUCUUUCUUCUUCUGGAAAGAUGGCAAGAUUAAAAACAAAAAAGAGAGGAAUGUUUUACAAUUUGAGGAAUAUGAAUCGAGCGGGACAAAUAAAAGAUUAUGAUCCCUCUGUUUCUUCUUUUUCUUGGGCUCUUCAGGAUAUUUCUUUUCA
rnacentral:ribozyme from 13 species